UACGUAGGGGGCAAGCGUUGUCCGGAAUCAUUGGGCGUAAAGCGCGUGUAGGCGGUUCGAUAAGUCUGCUGUGAAAGUCCAGGGCUCAACCCUGGGAUGCCGGUGGAUACUGUCGAGCUAGAGUACGGAAGAGGCGAGUGGAAUUCCCGGUGUAGCGGUGAAAUGCGCAGAUAUCGGGAGGAACACCAAUUGCGAAGGCAGCUCGCUGGGACGUCACUGACGCUGAGACGCGAAAGCGUGGGAGCAACAGG
rnacentral:rRNA from 1 species